rnacentral:rRNA from 1 species
UACGUAGGGGGCAAGCGUUGUCCGGAUUUAUUGGGCGUAAAGAGCUCGUAGGCGGUUUGGUAAGUCAGGUGUGAAAUCUCCACGCUCAACGUGGAGGGGCCACCUGAUACUGCCAUGACUGGAGUCCGGUAGAGGAGUGUGGAAUUCCCGGUGUAGCGGUGAAAUGCGCAGAUAUCAGGAGGAACACCGGUGGCGAAGGCGGAUCUCUGGGCCUUACCUGACGCUCAGGCGCGAAAGCUAGGGGAGCGAACAGG